GCUUACGUGGUGGAAGAGGUAUACACACUACUUUGAGGUAGUAGUUUAUGCUGGUUCAAAUCCAGUCGUGAGCA
rnacentral:tRNA from 1 species